AGAACUUCUCGGCCACAGCGAAUGUGGUACAACGUUUUUUAAUUUUUUACUUAUACAUCAUUUCCUAUUUUGUGAUAUUUACUGGAAAUGACAUCCAUUAUAACCAAUAGCAAGUUUGAAACUAAGCUCCCUGCCAACCUCCCUCCAGACUAUUUAUGACUUCAAUCUAUCUAUCUAUCUAUAUCUAGGAUAAGCAUUUCUAAUCAUAUUUGUCUGUGAAAUCUUCCAUUAAACUGAUGGCUUUUUAGCCGUAAAAAUGCAUUUUGACGAGGAGUUAUUUGCAGUUUGACUAAUUGCUUUUGUUGUUUCUUUUGUAGGCUUUGAAAAACCUGGCAAUGAAUUAUUCUGGCUGAAUUCUGUCGCUUAUCAAGCAAAAAUCUGAGUUGCAAUCAGAGUUCUUCAAAGAUCUCGACAAAUACACUCCUCGCUUCCUGGAGAAGUUCAAGACCCAGAGGGGGAAAGUGUCGGACAGAAACUUGAAUAUCUGCAACAAGUCACACCUGGGAGUACAGAUGUGACUGGGAGGUGAACAGCAGUCCUCCGUGGCUCUCCCGUCAUCCUUGGAGAUGACAACGCAGACUUCUUCAAGAAUUUGUGUGAGUUUAGGAUGGCGUGAAGCUUCGACUUGACCCUAUGGAAACACAGCAGAUGCCACCAAAGGGUCCUGAUCGGGGUUUGUUGUGAUGCAACUGCAUCGACCUGUCCUCAGGCCCUUCGACAUUCUGUUGUUUACAUUUGCUCUAUUAUUGUUGUUCCAUUCAAAUAUCAUCCCUAUUUGUAAAUAUGAUAAUUCAUAUUCUUUAUUAUUAGCUUUUGCAAUCAUUCAGUGAAUCACAUGAUCAAUGAAUUAAUCAUCGCACUCACUCCUGAGCAUCUUUCACUUGAUUAUCUAAUAAUAUCAGAAUCCAAGUAACCAUUGUGUGUUCUACCAUAGAAAUGCAACGUGAAAUUUGACAUGUAAUUGUGUUUUUUAUGCUGCUCUUGUUAUUAGGACUCUGGUGACCUUCUGGACGUGUCCCACACCUCCAUUGGGACCCUGACGGUGCUGAAGACAUCGUGGCCUCCUCACUCGCUGGACCUGGAGUCUACAACUACUGCCAUCGUUUUGGGAGGAACAGUCGUGAUGGGUGACCGUGAUAAUCUUCCCCGUGCCGUGUGGCUACUCUUCGGACUUAUUUACCCUGAAUUUGGAGUAUCCUCAACGAGUGAGGAACACCUUCUGAAUUUAUUCAUAGAGUGCUUCUCACUUGGACCAAAAACCCUAAAAUACAAUCACUCAAAUAUCUACUGAUGCCAUAAGGGACUGUGUUCAUGAUGUGCAGUCAGGCCCGAGAACUUCACCCUUCUAUCUCCAAUAGAACUCUUUUCUAGAAAAUGUCUGUUUUUGUUGUUUUUCUGUAGUUAAAUUUAGCAAAUGCCGAAAACGCUGUGUUCAUCAUAUUUCUGCGUUACAAAACCUAAUCUGGCAACAUGUUCAGCGUUUUAAGCACGUUGUUUGAGUUUUAAAACAUGUGUUUUUCUUCUAAAUAAACGUUGUCUUCCAUUGUAA